UGACAGCGUUAGGGAGGGAAGGGGUGACUAGUGACAGAGGGAGGGGUGACUAGGGACAGAGUGAGGGAGGUGGUGACUAGUGACUAGUGACAGUCACCACCUCCCUCACUCUGUCACUAGUCACCACCUUCCUCACUGUGUCACCCCCUCCCUCUGUCACUGGUCACCCACUCCCUCCCUCACUCUGUCACUAGUCACCCCUUCCUUCCCUCUGUCACUAGACACCCCCCUCACUCUGUCACUA